rnacentral:lncRNA from 1 species
AAAACAAAUAUGAACGCUAACUUUGGCCAGUGUUUGUGACUAUGUGGCUACUAAAAAAGACUAAACAUACCCCAUGUUCAAUACCUUGGGUUGUCUACUUUUUCAAAUGGUAUGCCAUUAUGGGGGUAAUUCUCAUUCCUGGGCUACCACACCGUCUCAAAGGUAACAUUACUAAUCUGGCAAGUUUCAAUUUGAAAAUGGAACGUUCUAUAUUUGACCCUGUAACUUUCCAAAACACCAUAAAACCUAUUAAUGGGGGGUACUGUUGUACUCGUGAGACAUCGCUGAUUACAAAU